rnacentral:lncRNA from 1 species
AAAAAAAGAUUUUCACCAAAAAGAAUCAGUUAUUUCAUCACCAAAGACAAAAGCAAAGUUUGAACAUUAGAAAGAGAUGUUGAAGUGUGUGUGUGUGUGUGUGUGUGUGUGUGUGUGCUGUAGCUCUGCCUCUCCCUGCUCUGCCAGGCCUGCCUCUCCCCCUCUCCCUCAUUAGGACACACACAGCUGCACAGCAUCACAGAGCUGCCCUGCUGCUCCUCACACACACUCCGGCCAGCCGCUCCUCACACACACUCCGACCAGCCGCUCCUCACACACUCUCCGACCAGCCGCUCCUCACACACUCUCACCAUGACGAAAACCAACGGCUGCCUCCGCGGCAUCUUCCUCGUCUUCAAUGCCAUUUUUGCGGGUAUUGGAGGUCUGAUGGUGUACGGGACGAUAAAGGCCACCGCCUUCAGCAGCCAGCUGGCGUCCGUGGGGGGUCCCAGCCUGGCCUGGAGCUGGAUCAUCUCCAUCGCCAUCGUCGGAAUCGCCGCCCUGGGAAUGUACGCCGGCAAAUACGAGAGCGCCAUCGCGCUGAAAGUGUUUGCAGGUUUCAUGGGCGUGUCGAUGGUCAUCAUGUUGGUCUGCGGCAUUAUCGUGGUCGUCGGCAAGAACAAGCUCGCGGACGCCUUCAGCGAAUCCUCGCCGGAGAUCCUUGAGGCGGUCAUGGACGAUGAUUCGAUGAAGGAAGCGCUGGACGAGCUGCAGCUCUACGGUCACUGCUGUGGGGUCUGGGAGCCCAGCGACUGGGGCAACAACAUCCCCUCGUCCUGCGACUGCAACCACAGAACCAAAGGCCUCGACCUGGGACUGGGACGGGCAAAAUGCACAUCCAAACCCAUGGGUUCUACGGGACCCAGUCAAAUCUACUCACGGCCCUGCAAAGACGUGGUCAUCGUUUUGUGUAACAUGGUGCUGAACGUUGCCAUCGGUCUCUGCUUCGGGUUUGCCGUCAUUGCUCUCCUCGGCCUGCUGAUCUCCCUCCUGAUGGUGCACCAGAUCCAGCGCUACGACGGCAUGGGCAGAAUCGCCAUUCCCAUGAAAGGCUUCUAAACCGUUUCUCUUCGAAAAAACAGAAUCGUAUAUUUUUGUGGUAAUCGUGUGGUGUUUUUUUUUUUUUUUUUGCUGAUGAUGCACUGUUGUGUUUUUGUAUUUUCUGCUGACCUGAUGCAGUUCUGUUAACCUGAAACCAAAUGAAAAUUCCUCUUUAACCGUUUAAUAAUAAAAAGUUUUAUAAUGUAGUUUACUCCUCUUUUUUUAAGCUUCUGAGAUGAUUUGUGUUCCAAGAAAAUCUAAAAAACAUUGGUGACUGCUUAAAAGAAAAAGGAUUUACUCGUCUAUAAGGAGAAGUCUUUAUCAUCGUUUGAAAAAUUACAUUCAACCCUCAAUCCACAUUGUACAGACUCUUAAUCUGGUUGUAGUUGCUGUUGCCAUGACGCUCAUAAAAAUCACAAAAUGCCUUUUGAAGAAAAUCAAGCAACAUAAGAUUUAUCAGGGUUUCUGUUACUUUUGCCUAAAACGGCUGAAAUGAAUUCAUUUUUUUCCACAUUUUGUUUCAUUCCUUUGUUUUGUAAAUAACCCAAAAGUCCUCAACUUACAGGCUUAAAACUCUAAACUGACUUUAGCUGUUGUAGAUAAUUUUUUUUUCAGCUUCAGUUUUUAAUGUGAAACACAUUUAAAAAAAAAAAAAAAAAAAAAGGAUAAAGAAAAAAUGUAAUCGCUAUUUAGGCCUACAUGAACCAAAACAAUAAGUCAGACUUCUCUAAUCCUCAAUAGCUUAGUUCAUUUUCUUAAUUUCCCAUCAAACAUCAAUGGUUGCAUUCAGUCAAGGUCUAUAAUUACAAAUUCCUUCAAUAGUUGUAUUCUAUCAAUGCAGCAUUGUCCUCAAACACACAGCUCCUCACACUCAUUGCAUAACGUCUCCUCCAGCAAUCCUUUUUGUUUUUGUUUGAAUACACUCACGAGAAGGAGGUGCGUCACUCAAACAAAGAGCAGAUGUUGAACACUGUUAUAUAAGGAAGGAUUCUUCAUGUUUGAAUUGAACUUUUCAGCUAAAGCAGUGAGCAAGCUCACAGGUUCACUGUCUAACUCGUGCAAACUUUCGUAUCUUUUUCCUUCUGGCUUUAAUCGUCUGAUUGUAAAAUCCUCUUGGAAACGCUCUAUUAAUUAUCUACAUGCAGAGUUCUUGUUUUCCUGAAUGGCAAGUUUAUUUUGAAGCAGUAAUUUGGCAAAAAUCUGAGUGAGUAAAAGAACA